rnacentral:rRNA from 1 species
CUACGGGUGGCUCCAGUGAGGAAUAUUGCACAAUGGGGGGAACCCUGAUGCAGCAACGCCGCGUGGAGGAUGACGCAUUUCGGUGUGUAAACUCCUUUUAUAUGUCAAGAAAAUGACGGUAGCAUAUGAAUAAGCACCGGCUAACUCCGUGCCAGCAGCCGCGGUAAUACGGAGGGUGCAAGCGUUACUCGGAAUCACUGGGCGUAAAGGACGCGUAGGCGGGUUGGAAAGUCAGGUGUGAAAUCCUACAGCUUAACUGUAGAACUGCACUUGAAACUUCUAAUCUAGAGUAUGGGAGGGGGAGAUGGAAUUAGUGGUGUAGGGGUAAAAUCCGUAGAUAUCACUAGGAAUACCUAAAGCGAAGGCGAUCUCCUGGAACAUUACUGACGCUAAGGCGUGAAAGCGUGGGUAGCGAAUGGGAUUAGAUACCCGGGUAGUC